GCCCAGCUAGCUCAGUCAGUAGAGUGUGGGACUCUUAAUCCCAGGGUCGUGGGUUCAGAGCCACAUGUUGGGUG
rnacentral:tRNA from 1 species